rnacentral:rRNA from 1 species
UACGGGGGGGGCAAGCGUUGUUCGGAAUUACUGGGCGUAAAGGGCUCGUAGGCGGCCAACUAAGUCGGAUGUGAAAUCCCCAGGCUUAACCUGGGAACUGCAUCCGAUACUGGAUGGCUUGAGUUUGGGAGAGGGAUGCGGAAUUCCAGGUGUAGCGGUGAAAUGCGUAGAUAUCUGGAGGAACACCGGUGGCGAGGGCGGCAUCCUGGACCAAUACUGACACUGAGGAGCGAAAGCCAGGGGAGCGAACAGG